CUGAAGUUGAGUCAUCCAUGUUCCUGCUGGUUGGAUUCUGAUAUCUUAUGCAUGAUGAUAGAGAUGGUAGUAGCUGGGUUGGAGAAAGAGGAUGUACAACACUGUCGUGUAUCAGUUGGAAUUCGAAGGACUUGAGUUUCACCUGUAAUUCAGUUCCUGGAAAUUUUCUCAAAGUGUUUUGGCAGCAGGAUUUGGUAAUGCUAUGAAAAAUUUAAUAUCGACUUACCGUUAGUCUGGUCACAAGAGUGGAGCUUCCAAUGCUGCACUUGACUGGAAAUUUGAUAAUUUUCUCUGAAGUCUCUGUUGGACCAGCAUAUUUGGUGAUAUCCAUUCUAAAUUUGGCCAAAACUGAUGCUCUGUUGUCUGAUUCCAAACCUAAGCCCUGGUGAGAUACUCAACUUUGGCAUCUGGAGUUCUAGAGUUUUGCAGAGGAGUGUCUGAUCUUUUUUGUUCAUACUGCCUGAGGAGAUGAUCAGUGGGUUCCCAGGCAUGACUAAACCAGGUCCAGUCCACGCUCCUGGACUCUUUAUUUAUCAUUGGACUAGACGAGUCCAGUCCACACUCCGUUCCGGUCCAGGAACAUUUUAAAAAACAAUUUAUAUAAAAUUUUGGAGGAGUUACAGCCGGUCCUAUAAGCCAGUUUUAUUAUCCAACAAGUUCUAUUCAAAAAAAUCAAAGUGUUUUUUAUUUUUAUCCUUAGACUCAACACUGUUACUCUAAAAUUUCAGUGAUAAAUUCACAAAAACAAACUUAUCACUGGUUUAAACAAAUUUAUUACUAGUUUAAAUAAAUUUAUUACUGGUUUAAAUAGAUUUAUCACUAGGAUCUUCUCCCAAUAUACAAAGAGAGAGAGAGAGAGAGAG